rnacentral:rRNA from 1 species
UACGUAGGGGGCAAGCGUUGUCCGGAUUUAUUGGGCGUAAAGAGCGUGUAGGCGGCCAAGCAGGUCCGCUGUGAAAACUCGAGCUCAACCUCGAGACGCCGGUGGAAACUGCAAAGCUAGAGUCCGGAAGAGGAGAGUGGAAUUCCUGGUGUAGCGGUGAAAUGCGCAGAUAUCAGGAAGAACACCCGUGGCGAAGGCGGCUCUCUGGGACGGUACUGACGCUGAGACGCGAAAGCGUGGGGAGCGAACAGG